CGCACACUCUCAAGUUCAACAAAUGGCCACAGAGGGCGAAAAAAUCGACCGCGCGGCGCUGCUAAAGAAACAGGCAUAGUACACCAAUUAAAAAGGUUCCCCGUUGAGCACAUUAUCUCCCGCUAGAGGCGCCGUAGUAAGCGCAAUUUUAACCUACAAACUUUCUUCAACAGUUAAGGAAGCGUUCUUAUUGCAUGAUAAAGACUACAAAAUUAUAAUUCCUAAUUUUACAUUGUACUUUUCAUUACCAACGUUGUUGUUUUUUGUCAUUUUAAACGCAAAAUAGCGUUCAGCAUCAUCGACCUCCCACGUGACCUCUGGCCUGGAUUUAAAAUUUUUACCGGUAUUUUCGCGUGCGCGGCAGGUACGGAUUCCUUGGUUCGUACAUUGGUUGGUUAUUUUGUGCUAACACCAGUUUACUGCGCUUCGAUGUCUCGCGUUAUUUAAUUUGGGGUGUAAGCCUGAAAGCUAGGUUUCAGUCGUGAGCCAUGUGGAACACGUCUGCAUCGAAAUGGGAGCCGGGUCCUGCUGCAACUGGGGACAGCAAUACCGACAUGCAGUAAUGAGGAUGGCACCAGUAUAAAGCAACACACUCCAUGCACUAAACAGAAGCUGCUGCCUGCUACAACAAGGUCAUUGUGUGGACUUUGGCUGCUACUACAAGAGUCUGUGCCAAGUACAUCUUGGUCAUCACGGGAGCCCCCAUCUACACCAACAGGAAGGGGCUGGAGCUGAAUUCGCAAGACCACAAACAAAGAAGCCAUUCCAGAAUUAUUUGGAUGAGAUAUCAAGUCUACGGACGACUGUUUCAAGAGUGAAAAGAGCCUACGCCAUCAUUCCACCAGCACGGAUUUUGGCCGAGUCAUCCAGGUACCUCAACAACAAAAAUUAUUUGUCUUCAGAUGUACCUGCAACCUCUGAACAAGCACAGAUGACGCUGGCUAAGAGUGUUCU